GCAGGAGCUGCCCUUCACAAGCGCUCUCUUUAUCCCCGUGAGAGAGGACUCUUGGUUCUUCCCCUCCAAAGUCAAAGACACAGACCACACUCAGUAUCUGGGUUGUGAUCUGUGCACAUGUCCAGGGCACAGAAAAGACGCAAGAUGCUAGAAGUGCUCUAUGAGCAUAUCAAAUCAGGAGGAUGACAAACGCUUCAUCGCCAUUCAAUGUAGAAUUGUUGACUUUGUCCAGAUAUUUUGUAGUCACUGAAUUAGCAAUACAGAUAACAGUGAUGGAACAGUUUAAUACGUCGGAUCUGAAGGAAACCAGUAGUUUGUAACAACAUAAGUGCUUGAAGCUUCUUGUUCAUGAAAUUUACUACAAAAUUCCGUCAAUAAGCAGUCUACUGUUUAAUGACCACUCAUGUUGCUCAGUUUGAUCUCUUAAUAGAAACGUAACAUAAAAUUUGAUAUCAUUGGAAGUAGUUUUGACAUUGUGAAGAGAAAAAGAGUGAAGUUUAGGGGCAAAGUUAGGGUUUCAUUUCAUUGUUCCGUUUUUGAGAGCAGUUCAGCGCUCAAAGUAAAGUGUGCUGCUCAUCUCUGUUGUGAGUCGGCACAGAGAAAAAUGUCCAGAGGGGAGACCGCAGCUAGCACUGCAAAAGUGGAUUGUCCAGAUGGAAAGGGUUCGGGUAUCGCCUCGGUGUCAAAAACAACAACGAUGGCCGGGGUGUCUCAGAGCUCCUCUACCCCCGUCGCAGACACUUCUGCGAGCGCGGGGUUCAGCUUCUUCUCAAAGACACGCCAGUUCGGAGCUUGGCUGACGAGAGCCACAGAAGGAGAUAAGAUGAACAUAUCUACCAAGGACAUCAACGCAGUCGCACCAACAACUUUCUAACAUCCUCGUUGGCCAGUUUACAGAUUUUUAAAGAAAUUUCUUUUGUUAUUAUUCAGCGUCGCAUUUCUAUAAAAAUCCAAAACUCGAGAAAUGUUGAAUGUCCCAAA